ensembl:snoRNA
UUGGUGGUAAAAAACUAUUGAAAGUUUGAUAUACUUUAAGUUUUUAUCUUCUCUGUUUACAACACACCCGACAGGAAACUGGGGUCAUUGUGACAAAGGACAGAACAAAACUUGUGGCCUCCUGUAAACAAAUGCUCUACAUGU